CAGCCGCCGCGGUAAUACGAAGGGGGCUAGCGUUGUUCGGAAUUACUGGGCGUAAAGCGCACGUAGGCGGAUAUUUAAGUCAGGGGUGAAAUCCCAGAGCUCAACUCUGGAACUGCCUUUGAUACUGGGUAUCUUGAGUAUGGAAGAGGUGAGUGGAAUUCCGAGUGUAGAGGUGAAAUUCGUAGAUAUUCGGAGGAACACCAGUGGCGAAGGCGGCUCACUGGUCCAUUACUGACGCUGAGGUGCGAAAGCGUGGGGAGCAAGCAGGAUUAGAGACCCCCGUAGUCCCUGUCUCUUAUAC
rnacentral:rRNA from 1 species